rnacentral:rRNA from 1 species
CGAGUCUUUGACGCACAUUGCGCUCACCGGUAUUCCGGUGAGCAUGUCUGUCUGAGCGUCAUUACAACCCUCGGUCCACACCGGUUUUGAGCGAGCGCUGGGUCUUACCACCCGAGCUGGCUUUAAAGUUGUAAGCUCUGCUGGCUGCCCCGCCCGACUUGAACAUAGUAAACUUUGCUUGUUCGCGGUUGAGGUGGAAGCGGUACGGCCUGAACAAAACCUACCAAACUUUUAAGGUUUGACCUCAGAUCAGAUAAGGAUACCCGCUGAACUUAAGCAUAUCAAUAAGCGGAGGAAAAGAAACCAACAGGGAUUGCCUCAGUAACGGCGAGUGAAGCGGCAAGAGCUCAAAUUUGAAAUCUGGAGCCUUCGGCUUCCGAGUUGUAAUUUGAAGAGGGUGUUUCGGUUGCGGCCCUGGCCUAAGUUCCUUGGAACAGGACGUCAUGGAGGGUGAGAAUCCCGUACAUGGCUGAGGGCUUGCUUCUAUGUGAAACCCCUUCGAAGAGUCGAGUUGUUUGGGAAUGCAGCUCAAAAUGGGUGGUAAAUUUCAUCUAAAGCUAAAUAUUGGCGGGAGACCGAUAGCGCACAAGUAGAGUGAUCGAAAGAUGAAAAGCACUUUGAAAAGAGAGUUAAACAGUACGUGAAAUUGUUGAAAGGGAAGCGCUUGCAAUCAGACUCGCUUUCGGUUGAUCAACGUUCCUUUUGGUUCGUGCACUCUGCCGUUUGCGGGCCAGCAUCAGUUGGGGCGGUGGGACAAA